UACGAAGGGGGCUAGCGUUGCUCGGAAUCACUGGGCGUAAAGCGCACGUAGGCGGAUUGUUAAGUCAGGGGUGAAAUCCUGGAGCUCAACUCCAGAACUGCCUUUUGAUACUGGCGAUCUUGAGUCCGGGGAGAGGUGAGUGGAACUGCGAGUGUAGAGGUGAAAUUCGUAGAUAUUCGCAAGAACACCAGUGGCGAAGGCGGACUCACUGGCCCGGUACUGACGCUG
rnacentral:rRNA from 1 species